AAUUUCGCUUUAAUAAGGUUCCCCGAAAAAAAAAGAUCUAAAAAAUAAAUAAUUUUAGUUGUAGAUCAUUGAUGUAGCAUUAUCAUUAGUUUAUUAUUUUUUAGGGGUGAAACACUACCACUUUUUUAGAUAUCUGGAUAAAACUUAAAUGUAUUCAGUACAAAAAUUAACCUUAGAGUAAUAAGAAUUUAAGGGUACAAAAUAGUAUUGUUAGUAAAUGUCUAGAGCUAAGUUUUAGUAGACGCAUUCGGGCUAAUAUUAAAAUAUAAGUUAAUUUGUGCUUUAAGUUUUACCUACUGAAAAUAAAUUCAGUAUUUUAUUCUGUUUAAAUAAGUAUUUAUAUACAUUAUAUUAUAUACAACCAAGGAACUCGGCAAGCCUACUUUCAACUGUUUAUCAAAAACAUAGCUUAUAGUUGUUAUUAUAGGUGACUUCUGCCCAGUGAGAUAUUUAACGGCCGCAGUACACUGACUGUGCUAAGGUAGCAUAAUAAAUUGGCUUUUAAUUGGAGUCGGGUAUGAAUGGAAGUAUGGGGGUUAACUGUCUCGGUUUUAGUUUUUAAAAUUUACUAAGGAGGUGCAAAUUCCUCUACUUAUUUCAUUAGACGAGAAGACCCUAUGAAUUAUUAUUAGAAUAUACAUUUGUAUUUAUCGUUUUUGUUGGGGCAACAGGUUUGAAGAUUAUACAAUCAAACUAAUACCUAUUUUCACAAGAAAAUGUUUAAUUAAUAUGCAUUUAAUUACCUUAGGGAUAACAGCAUAAUCAAAUUUUUGGUUUGUGACCUCGAUGUUGGACUAGGGACUAAGCUGAUUAGUCAUUAGUUUAGAUUGUUCUGUUCGAACAGGUUACCCUA
rnacentral:rRNA from 1 species